rnacentral:piRNA from 1 species
UGGUCUACUGAUCGAGUUCCAGG